UUCAGAGAAGGAGGUGCAGGUACUGACUUGCAAGGUGUGGGGAAAAGAAAGAGAGAUCAGAUUGUUACUGUGUCUGUGUAGAAAGAAGUAGACAUAGGAAACUCCAUUUUGUUCUGUACUAAGAGAAAUUCUUCUGCCUUGAGAUGCUGUGAAUCUGUAACCUUACCCCCAACCCUGUGCUCUCUGAAACAUGUGCUGUGUCAACUCAGGGUUAAAUGGAUUAAGGGCUGUGCAGGAUGUGCUUUGUUAAACAGAUGCUUGAAGGCAGCAUGCUCGUUAUGAGUCAUCACCACUCCCUAAUCUCAAGUACCCAGGGACACAAACACUGCGGAAGGCCCGCAGGGACCUCUGCCUAGGAAAGCCAGAGACCUUUGUUCACGUGUUUAUCUGCUGACCUUCUCUCCACUAUUAUCCUAUGACCCUGCCACAUCCCCCUCUCCGAGAAACACCCAAGAAUGAUCAAUAAAUACUAAGGGAACUCAGAGGCCGGCGGGAUCCUCCAUAUGCUGAACGCUGGUCCCCUGGGCCCCCUUAUUUCUUUCUCUA